UUAAGUUCAGCGGGUAUCCCUACCUGAUUUGAGGUCACAUUAAUGAAGAUUUGUCCAAUUUAAUGGGCUGUUAGAAGCUGAACUUGCUUCAGGUCAAUAGCGUAGAUAGUUAUCACACCAAUGAACGGUCAACAAAUUGUUCUGCUAAUGCAUUUCAGGGGAGCUGACCUCGGAGAAGGCCAGCAAAAGAACCCCCACAU
rnacentral:misc_RNA from 1 species